rnacentral:lncRNA from 13 species
GGGGGUGAGAGGGGAAAGGAGGGGUGUUGUCUGUAGCUUGUGAGGUGUGGAAACACUUUGUUGCUUUUAUGAAUUUUGUCUUGCUGCUUUUUGUUCUAUGUUGCUCUGUCUGUAUGCUACGUCUUGCUUGUCCAAUGUUGCUCUGUCUGUAUGUUAUGUCUUAUAGCAGAAAAUAAGAUGUGCAGCAAAGAUGGUUCAGGUUGAUCCCAAAGUUGUGUGUGUGUGUGUGUGUGUGUGUGUGUGUGUGUGUGUGUGUGUGUGUGUGUGUGUGUGUGUGUGUGUGUGUGUGUGUGCGUGUGUGUGUAGCUGCUUGGGGAUGUGAAUGCCUCAGAGCUGAUCCAGAAAGUCCCUGCCUCUCUGCUGUCCAGCCUAUCCCUGACCACCCUGGACAAGGCUAACCUGACCUCCCUCGACCAACUGGAGGGCAAGCAGUGGACACGUGCACAGUCGGCCUUUCUGGUCAGAAAUAUCCUAGGCAAGAAGAUGACACUUACAGACAUGCGGAAGCUGGGCUCGGCAAUGCAGGGCGUGGCCUGUGAGAUGAUUGAAACAGUGGCUGAAAGUGGCGUCAUGGAGAUGGCCCAAGCUGUGACAGAGACUCCACGCUGGCUCUCUAAGACACAGGUACACACACACACAAGUGAUGACUGCAACUCCUACUGUUCUGUAUGUAAAUCUGUGACAACUGAUAGGUUACAUUAUGAAUGGAGUAGCAGUCAUAGAAUAUCAUAUGAAUUAGAGGAUGUAUAGUAUCAUACAUCUUACCUGGUCGUACAAUAGCAUACGAAUUGGAUGAUGUAAGUUAUUAUACAUCUUGGAGGACUUAUAUGUAUUUCUCUGAGACCAGGUUGCUUGUUGCGUCGUAACAGCAAAGGAGAAUUACGUUCGUGGUUAGGUGAACUAACAACAAAGGUUAGGUGAAUUGGGUCAAGUUUAGAAUAAGGGUUAGGGAAGGGUUAGCUAAUUAAGUGAUAAUGCCUGAUAAAACGGUGUUUGGAGGAUAUAUUGGCACGGGUGUUGUUUGUCUCGGGCAGCAAACUGUGCCAAUAUAUCCUCAGAACAACACCUUCUCUGGCAUUAUCACUUUUAUACAACGAGUUACCAACAUAUUCAAAUAAUGAUUGACAUGUUUUCAUUAACGUUAUUUUGAUUAAUUUAUUCAUACUAUUUCAUCCUUCCACAAAUCUGUGGUUGCAGCCAGAAUAACAACAGUAGCUGCAUUUGCAUUUGUUUAAGCUGUUUUCUAGUGACAUUUAUUUGGAUACAUCCAUGACAAUGAGCAAAUGGUGCGCGAUUUCGACUAGCAUAGAAAAAAUGCUUACUGGUCAGGACUCAGAGGAGCUAGCCAACAACACAGCUAACACGAUCACUUCAAACUGAAGCUGGAAAGGCUGCAAACUAGCUGCACUUCAUUUCGUUUGACAUUUUUUCAAUUUACAUUUCUUUCUUUGUAUACAUCCAUGAAAAUGAUGCCAGCUGAUUCAUGAUUUCGACUGGAUGAGAAACGCUGCCUGCCUGUCUGUCUCGUCCCGACACGUUCAUUACCAUGGGACAGCUGGAGUCAAAUUUGAAUAUUGAAACAAUGUUGCAAAUGUCGGAGAGACAGAUGGCAAGGUUUAUACAAAUCUCCGCUGUUGAAAACUAAACACUGUCUAAAAUAAAUGUGAGAUAAUGUCUAGAUGCUUCUUAUAGUGGAGAUCACGUUUAUAAAUUGCUUGGCUGGGCUGAUGAGACAGUGGAUUGUGCAGUCAGAUGGAAUAGAGUAAAUAGGCAUUUUAACGUCACAGAUUUAGCCAGUGGUAAUUUAUGGAAUAGACACCGGCUGGAAUGUGAUUUUAACCAAUCAGCAUUCAGGAUUAGACUCACCCGUUGUAUAAAAAGCUACAAUUGCCCUCGACACGACUCAAACACGCAACCUUUGGAUUGUUAGAUGGUUGCGGAUUACACCCACUCAUCCUCUCCGACCAACCUCCCUAAAUUAAUUUCUGUCUAAAGUAACUAGGCCAUUAGUAGAUAUCAUACGUCUUCUAAAUGCUCAGAAAUACAUGCAAGUUUGUUUCAUAUAGCUCUGAGGUCAGGCUGGUUAUUACAUGCUUAGGGGCCAUUGAUUUUGAGACACACGUUUAUCUCCCGCCCUCUCACUUUGUCUGUCAGGUGUGCUGUACUGCACAGAGUCUGUUUGCAGGUUUGGAGAAAAAGAGAGCAGGCUACUUCAACAACAUCACAGACACAGAGCUGGAGGAGAUCCCCACCCUGCUGCUGCUUCACCUGCCGUGAUUACACACACACACACACUGGCAGAUGUUGCUGUGUUCCAGGGGUUUCAAUUAAAAUUAUCCCCAGCUGUCCAGGGGGCCACACUGACCUAUUGUUUAUAUGCAAAUGUAUUUUUUUAAGUGUAUCCCCUAUAAAUUUCAGAAUUU